rnacentral:misc_RNA from 1 species
GCAGACAUGGUACGAAUAGUGGUAUGUGGAUAGUAGAUUCAGGAGCAUCAACUCAUAUGUGUCAUGAUUUUUCCCUUUUCCAAAAACCCAUGAAAUUAAACGAUCACUGUUUUGUUACCUUGCCUGAUGGAAACACCAAACCAGUCAAAUACAGUGGAAACAUCAUGAUAAACCCAUACCUGUAUCUCCACAAUACACUAUACACACUAAGUUUCAAAUAUAAUUUACUGUCAGUGAGUGCACUUACUAAAACCUCACAUAUUUCAAUCCAAUUUUUCUCUGACCAUUGCCUCCUGCAGGACCCAGUGACUGAGGCAGUACUAGCAAGAGGAGAAUUGCAAGGAGGGCUAUAUGUAAUAAGAGCAAACAAAAGUAAUCAUGAGAUCUUUAAGGGUAACUGUAAU